CCAAAGGCUCUUUUAAGAGCCACUUAACCUUUUCCCGAGAAGAGCUG
rfam:Nestor notabilis contig91108, whole genome shotgun sequence.